GGAUGUGAGGGUAAUCUGACUAGGACAUCUGUCACCCCAUUGAUUUGGAGGGUUGAUUCAGCUGAUCUAGCUGGCUAGGCAGGUGUUCCCUUCCUCCCUCACCACUCUUUCCUUGUGUGUCCCUCCUGAAGCUGCACGCUUGGUCAAAAAGGACAACCACCCCCAUAGAGGAAGACUGUUUCCUUGGUCAAGGGUAUAUGAGUAGCUUCACUCCCCUAAUAGAACCUCCAAACAAGCUUUCAGGGUCUAAAUACUAGCAAUAAAUUUACUUGUCAUAAGCAAUUUACAAGCAUCAACACAGGAAUU
rnacentral:snRNA from 1 species